rnacentral:rRNA from 1 species
AGUGAACGCUGGCGGUAGGCCUAACACAUGCAAGUCGAACGGCAGCACAGUAAGAGCUUGCUCUUACGGGUGGCGAGUGGCGGACGGGUGAGGAAUACAUCGGAAUCUACUUUUUCGUGGGGGAUAACGUAGGUAAACUUACGCUAAUACCGCAUACGACCUACGGGUGAAAGCAGGGGAUCUUCGCACCUUGCGCGAUUGAAUGAGCCGAUGUCGGAUUAGCUAGUUGGCGGGGUAGAGGCCCACCAAGGCGACGAUCCGUAGCUGGUCUGAGAGGAUGAUAGGCCACACUGGAACUGAGACAGGGUCCAGACUCCUACGGGAGGCAGCAGUGGGGAAUAUUGGACAAUGGGCGCAAGCCUGAUCCAGCCAUACCGCGUGGGUGAAGAAGGCCUUGGGGUUGUAAAGCCCUUUUGUUGGGAAAGAAAAGCAGCAGGUUAAUACCCCGCUGUUCUGACGGUACCCAAAGAAUAAGCACCGGCUAACUUCGUG